GACAACGCUGGCGGCGUGUCUUAAGCAUGCAAGUUGAGCGGCAAGGAGGAGAGAUCCUCCUAGAGCAGCGGACUGGUGAGUAACGCGUGGGUAAUCUAUCUUAGGCAUGGGGAUAGUCACUAGAAAUAGUGGGUAAUACCGAAUAAGUUCCAUAAGGGGAGGACUUAUGGAAGAAAGGUGCUACGGCACUGGCCUUAGGUGAGCUCGCGUCCCAUUAGCUAGUUGGUGAGGUAAAGGCCCACCAAGGCGAUGAUGGGUAGCCGGCCUGAGAGGGUGUACGGCCACACUGGGACUGAGAUACGGCCCAGACUCCUACGGGAGGCAGCAGCUAAGAAUAUUCCGCAAUGGACGGAAGUCUGACGGAGCGACGCCGCGUGGAUGAAGAAGGCCGAAAGGUUGUAAAGUUCUUUUGCUAGGGGAGAAUAAGUGUGGGAGGGAAUGCCUGCACGAUGACAAGGACUAGCGAAUAAGUCCCGGCCAACUACGUG
rnacentral:rRNA from 1 species